GUGGUUGUAGCUCAGAGGUAGAGCACUCACCUAGAAUGCAUGAGACCCUGGGUUUGAUCCUCAGCACCACA
rnacentral:tRNA from 1 species